GAGGGUGUAGCUCAGUGGUAGAGCACAUGCUUAGCAUGCACAAGGUCCUAGGUUCAAUCCUCAGUACCUCCA
rnacentral:tRNA from 1 species